AUCCCUCCGUUCCCCCACCACUUGGCGUCCUGGCUACUGGAGCUGUUUAGUUGCUGGAGAAAACCCUGAAGAAACGUGUGUUUGUCUGCGGUGGCUGGGCGGGGCUCUGAGGAGGUAGGGACUGCAUCUGCUCUGCUCCUUGUCAUAGGGUGUCGCAGGCCUCUUUUGCAUAUUGGCAGCGACAAGUUGAGGCUUGUUCAUUUGACACAGUCCUGUGGUCACAGCGAAUCUCUCUAAAGCUCUAACCAGUGGAGAAGGGGGUUGUAUGGAUCCUCUGAACUCUGAGUGGGACUUCCUGAAAGAUUUAUUAGGAGAAAAACCUUCCUGGAAGCAGCAGAAGAACAAACACAGAAUCUCUGGCUGGGCAGAGCCUCGUGGCCUGGUCUCCACUAUCUGGGAGCAGUUACAUCUUGGAGGCUUGAUCUUUCGACCAGAAAGGAAUUAAAAAGAUGGUCCCUCGUGAUGGCGGCGCCUGUCAGCUGCGUGGAGCUUCCCUGAAGGCUUUUCUGAGCCGUGUGGAUGUACAGUGAUUCUCGGCCGCCUGAGGAAUAGCUCUGGUGGAAGCCUCUCUCCAAUGACACACACCCGCCCCAUUUCUGGAUGCUAAAGGUGGUUUUGGGAAGGCCCCGGCUGAGUGCCUCGCGGAUUCCUGCAGCCCGGAUGCCCCUGGUGGACGGAGGACUGAAGCUUCCUGCCUUUGCUGCCGACAGGAGUGUUCGGUUGGGGCUCUGCCAGCUCCCUUGGGGGCUCCCUAUGAAACCAUCCUGUUCCACCUGGGAUUUAGGUGCCUUUAAUUUGACAAAAAAAGAAUACGUAUCCAUUCAAUACUCCAGAGGGACUUGAAAACUGUUCUUCCCUGAACGAAAGCUGGAAUAUCAUGGGAUGUGAAGAAUCAAGGCCGGGCUGAGGUUUCAGAGGAGUUCCGAGCUCCUGUGGAGAUUUGCUUCUCUCCAGCCUUGGGCUCUCUGCACUCUUGAACAUCUCGGGGCCCACAAGAAAAAGAAGAAAGCCAGCCAGUUCUGGGAGCAGCCUGGGUGAAGAGAGGCUGGAAUCCUGUAAAGGCGAGGAUGAAGUCAUUUUUGUCUACCGCAGUUACGACAAUAAAAGCUAGUGCUUUUGUCACACCAGCCAUAUGCCAGGCACUGUUGUGGGCGAAUGCACUUCUUCACCCUGUGACUUUGGUCUUGGCCAUGUGACUUGCUUCGGUUCAUGGGAUGUUAGUAAUAUCACUGGAGUGGAGGAUGGAAACGUGUGGAUGCAGUUGGGCUUGCUUUCCUGUGUGCCUUUCAUCAUGACAACAUGCCUUUGGUGGUAUCCAACCCACAGAAGAUGAGAGACUUGGAGCAGAUUCAGAAUUCACACCUAGCACGGAGCCAAGCUCAGACAGACCUUCCCUGUAUCAUCUAACUGCUAGCUGACUAACAGACACGAAAGAUAUUAUCAUCCUGAAGCCAGGAGAUAAUAAAUAAUCUACAAAAGGGCACGGAGCCAGCAUUCAAACCCUGUUCACCUAACUGGAAAACACUUUUUUUUCACUAUCCCAGAGUACCAGUGCUUUGUAGCGGUGGUUUCGGUCUUCAAGCCUUGUAGUCAAUAUGCUGGAAACGUUCUCUUCGCGCAAAUCAUGAAAGCAGAUGCAGACCCAGGCCGCCUGAGUGAUUCCACUGCCUGGCCUGCUGUGACCAGUUGUGGCCAACGAGUCGCAAGCAGACGGACUUGCCUUUUCUGGCCUUCGCGUGCAACGCUAGUGAGAGACUUUCCAGGAGGAAGAAAGGAAGAGCGGGGAGCUGGGCACAAAAGACUUAGCCCAUGGUGCCUUUUUGUGAGUUCUGCCACAUCUCAGAUGGGGUUCUCAGAUAAAGAAACAAAAGUUCAAGGAGGUGAGCAGGGCACUUAAGUACCAAAUGGAAGUUUUAUGCCAGAUCCCAGCCUCAACCACCAAAAGCCAGUUCCUUUCUCCAUCCUUAAUAUCUCUUCAUUUGAGCAUCAUCUCCCUGCAGGGUCACCGUAACUGUUCUCUCUUUGGUCCCUCUGCCUCCAUUUUGGACACUGCAGAUAUCACGAAAAGAAGCCCACACUAGCCUACUGGAGGCCUCAUGGAGAGAAAGAUCCAAGCACCAGCCAACAGCAACCACCUGAUACCCGAGUGAGACCAUCCGGGACCAGCCAGCCCCCAGGAAGAGGUGAGAACACACAGAGACACAGAAUAGAUGAAGAUGGAAACAGAGAUUGGAGUGGUGCACCUAUAAAGACAAGGAAGUGAAGGAUUGCCAGGAGCCACCAGAACUUGGAAGAGGCAAGGACGGAUCCUCCACUAGACCCUUCAAAGGGAGCAGGGCCCUGCCAACACCUUGACUUCAAACUUCUGGACUGCAGACUGUGAUGCUUUCCCAGUGCAGUGACUGCCACAUGUUGUUGGGAUUUUGGUCCAAGCCACAGAAGAAGACAGUGAAGCUAAGCGAUGCAGGAAGUAAACUCAUGACCUUAGAUUCGGGAAACUGGUGCACCAACCACUGAGAAACCAGAGAUGGAGGACUUUUGCACAAGCAUGAGCAGAGUAUAAAUCAACAUCUCUGCCUUCAACAAAAUCCGCAUCAUCACUCAUUUGGGAAGAAGCAAACUGCGUAUUGUGCGCAGACCUAUCGAGAAAUCCAUGUGGUUAAGUAACUGGUGACUCUGAUCCAUAGCCAGCCAAGACCUGAGGCCUGCCAAUAGCCAGAUGGUCAGGGCUUUGGGACAUAAAUCUGAUUUCUUCUCGAAGAAUGUUGCUGUGGUGAAGUCUGAGGCCAGCUGGAUCCCACCUCACUCCCUUUUUAUCUGUCUGGAUAAAGUCUUCCUCUAUAGGAAGGUUUUCUAGUCGGAGGAGAUGCAAUUCUACUUUGAGGUUGUGGACUCGAGGCGCCACUAAACGGAGAUUCAUGUGCUUUCAUUGACGUAAAGUGAAUCCUUCAUUUGUGGACAACUUUGCUGCCCAAACCCAAUCUGCUACUGCAGCCAAUGGGCUUAUCUGAAGCGUCUGUGGAAAGAGAGCAGGGGAGCCAGGAGACCUGAGUUGCUGGAUCGUGAUUCUGCUAAUCCCAGGGGGUAACCUUGAGUAUGGCCAGAACACUUUUGGUCGUGGCUGGUGGUAUGGACAAAGUUCCAUAGAGCUCAGGGCUUGGCCAGAGAGGGGCAGGGAAAGUUUCUCUAGGGGAACAUUUGAGAGUAGGGUUUUCAAUUAUGAACUUAAUUUCACCAGGCAGACAGAGGAAAGGGCAAGGGGUUUUCAGAGAGAGGAAGCUGACCGGACAGAGCAAUGCAAAGUGAAAGUCGGUGAAGGGUCUCAGGAAUGGCAUCUUUGACUGUGGUGAGAAGGAAGGUUGUGCUGUGGAGCCUGGAGAGGCAGGGGGUAGAAGCCAGCUCGUGAAAAGUCUGGAGGACCAAGCUCAAGUGGUUGCUCUGGGCAACUGGCAACUCCCAAAGGCUGCUGAGCAUGGGGAAGUGGGGAGGGAACGUGAUUAGAAUUUGUUUUCAUUAAGCAGUCGACACCCAGUAUGAGACCAAAGGGAUCAUUUGUUGCUCUCAUUAGCCCUGCAUAAUAAGUGAACGACCAUUGAUCUCCCCAUUUAGCAGAUGAGGAAGCUGAGGCUUGGAGAGAUUAAGUGUUCAAGGACACACUACUCAAGGAAAACAGAAGAUAAAAAUAAUUCAUAAUUCAUACUUCUGCCGGAUAGGAUUCCAUUGAAUUCUUAUAAACUUCAGUUCGAGAUUAGGUAACAUUUGCUCUGAGGCAUUACCAGGGUUUAGACAUUCAUCCAAGAUUCUGAAAUGGAAAGAGGCCAACACUGCAUAAGUAAAAUUCAGAGUCAUUAGUAGAGAUAUCAUUAGGCCUCUCUUUUAAUCAUUUCUUAGAGCCAAUGUAUCAUUCUUUUCAUUGGCUCUAGGGGAGGCUGGAACUUGUCUGAAGGUGGGUGUGCAACUAAAAUUUUUGUAACAUUUUCUGUGUCAGCUCUGCUAAUGCGGAGUUCAUCCACUGAUGUUAAUGCCACAGUGGAGGUCUAGAAGAUUCUGGGAGAGCAAAAGAGAUUUUAGUCUUUACAAAUACAGUAGUUGGCCCUUAUCCAUGGGGGAUAACAUUCCAGGAAACCCAGUGGCUGCCCUGAAACCACAGAUAGUACUGAACCAUACCAUGUUUUUUCCUUUAUACACAUACCUAUGAUAAAGUUUAAUUCCUCAAUUAGGCACAGUAAGGGAUUAACAACAACAAAUAAUAAUAAAAUAGAACCAUAAUAAAAGUUAUGUGAAUGUGGCCUCCUUCUUUCUCCCUCUCAGAGUAGCUUAUUGUACGGUACUCACCCUUCUUCUUGUGAUGUUGUGAGAUGAUAAAAUGCCUAUGAUGAGAAGUGAGGUGAAUGAUGUAGGCAUUAUGACAUAGUGUUAGGAUACUCUUGACCUUCUUUAUUAUUAUUAUUUCUUGGCGGUACGCGGGCCUCUCACCGCUGUGGCCU